rnacentral:lncRNA from 1 species
AUGGUUGUUCAAGGGGGGAUUUUGUUGGUUUUUUUUUCCUGUUCAAAGUUUGGAGUUUUUUCCCCUCAAAAUCUUCAAUUGGGAUCAGUACCAGGCGUUCACCUCUCCUGGACUACGAGGGCGGGUGGGUGGCGUUCUACAACGCCGACAGCAUGGCUCCCAUCUUCACCUUCACCGCCGCCUUCUCCGAGAGGAUUUUCCCCUUUUUUUGGCUUUUUUACGUGGGUUCCUCGCUGUCCCUGUGCAACUGAGCUCGCUGUUGUGUCCCCCUCUUUCCAUCCUUUGCUUCCAAGCAAAACGCCCCAAAAUCCCACCCGUGGUUGUUCAAGGCGGGGAUUUUGUUGGGUUUUUUUUUCCUGUUCAAAGUUUGGAGUUUUUUCCCCUCAAAAUCUUCAAUUGGGAUCAGUACCAGGCGUUCACCUCUCCUGGACUACGAGGGCGGCUGGGUGGCGUUCUACAACGCCGACAGCAUGGCUCCCAUCUUCACCUUCACCGCCGCCUUCUCCGAGAGGAUUUUCCCCUUUUUUUGGCUUUUUUACGUGGGUUCCUCGCUGUCCCUGUGCAACUGAGCUCGCUGACGGUGUCCUCUUCUUUCCAUCCUUUGUUUCCAAGCAAAACGCCCCAAAAUCCCACCCGUGGCUGUUCAAGGGGGGGAUUUUGUUGGUUUUUUUUUUCCUGUUCAAAGUUUGGAGUUUUUUCCCCUCAAAAUCUUCAAUUGGGAUCAGUACCAGGCGUUCACCUCUCCCGAGACGCCGCUGUCGCUUUGCGAGCGGCCGCGCAAGAUCGGGGUGUACCUGGACUACGAGGGCGGGUGGGUGGCGUUCUACAACGCCGACAGCAUGGCUCCCAUCUUCACCUUCACCGCCGCCUUCUCCGAGAGGAUUUUCCCCUUUUUUUGGCUUUUUUACGUGGGUUCCUCGCUGUCCCUGUGCAACUGAGCCCGCCACGCUCGCUGCCCCCCUCUUUCCAUCUUUAGGUUUUCCUUUGCUUCCAAGCAAAACGCCCCAAAAUCCCACCCGUGGCUGUUCAAAUGGGGGAUUUUGUUGGUUUUUUUUUUCCUGUUCAAAGAUUGGAGUUUUUUCCCCUCAAAAUCUUCAAUUGGGAUCAGUACCAGGCGUUCACCUCUCCUGGACUACGAGGGCGGGUGGGUGGCGUUCUACAACGCCGACAGCAUGGCUCCCAUCUUCACCUUCACCGCCGCCUUCUCCGAGAGGAUUUUCCCCUUUUUUUGGCUUUUUUACGUGGGUUCCUCGCUGUCCCUGUGCAACUGAGCCCGCUGACGGUGUCCCCCUCUUUCCAUCCUUAGGUUUUGCUUUGUUUCCAAGCAAAACGCCCCAAAAUCCCACCCGUGGUUGUUCAAGGGGGGGAUUUUGUUGGUUUUUUUUUCCUGUUCAAAGUUUGGAGUUUUUUCCCCUCAAAAUCUUCAAUUGGGAUCAGUACCAGGCGUUCACCUCUCCUGGACUACGAGGGCGGGUGGGUGGCGUUCUACAACGCCGACAGCAUGGCUCCCAUCUUCACCUUCACCGCCGCCUUCUCCGAGAGGAUUUUCCCCUUUUUUUGGCUUUUUUACGUGGGUUCCUCGCUGUCCCUGUGCAACUGAGCUCGCUGACAGCAUCCCCCUUUUUCCAUCCUUUCCAUCCUUUGCUUCCAAGCAAAACGCCCCCAAAAUCCCACCCGUGGUUGUUCAAGGGGGGGGAUUUUGUUGGUUUUUCUUUCCUGUUCAAAGUUUGGAGUUUUUUCCCCUCAAAAUCUUCAACUGGGAUCAGUACCAGGCGUUCACCUCUCCCGAGACGCGCAAGAUCGGGGUGUACCUGGACUACGAGGGCGGCUGGGUGGCUCCCAUCUUCACCUUCACCGCCGCCUUCUCCGAGAGGAUUUUCCCCUUUUUUUGGCUUUUUUACGUGGGUUCCUCGCUGUCCCUGUGCAACUGAGCUCGCUGCCAGCAUCCCCAUCUUUCCAUCCUUCAGUUUUCCUUUGCUUCCAAGCAAAACGCCCCAAAAUCCCACCCGUGGUUGUUUAAGGGGGGAUUUUGUUGGUUUUUUUUUCCUGUUCAAAGUUUGGAGUUUUUUCCCCUCAAAAUCUUCCUUUUUGGCGAGGAGGGGGCUCUGCUUGAGCGUCCCGUCCUUAUUGUUGGUUCUACACCUCCUGUUAAAUUAA